rnacentral:rRNA from 1 species
GCAAUCUACCUUUUACAGAGGGAUAGCCCAGAGAAAUUUGGAUUAAUACCUCAUAGUAUGUGAGAAUGGCAUCAUUUUCACAUUAAAGUCACAACGGUAAAAGAUGAGCAUGCGUCCCAUUAGCUAGUUGGUAAGGUAACGGCUUACCAAGGCUACGAUGGGUAGGGGUCCUGAGAGGGAGAUCCCCCACACUGGUACUGAGACACGGACCAGACUCCUACGGGAGGCAGCAGUGAGGAAUAUUGGACAAUGGGCGCAAGCCUGAUCCAGCCAUGCCGCGUGCAGGAUGACGGUCCUAUGGAUUGUAAACUGCUUUUGCACAGGAAGAAACAACUCUACGUGUAGAGUCUUGACGGUACUGUGAGAAUAAGGAUCGGCUAACUCCGUGCCAGCAGCCGCGGUAAUACGGAGGAUCCAAGCGUUAUCCGGAAUCAUUGGGUUUAAAGGGUCCGUAGGCGGUUUAGUAAGUCAGUGGUGAAAGCCCAUCGCUCAACGGUGGAACGGCCAUUGAUACUGCUAGACUUGAAUUAUUAGGAAGUAACUAGAAUAUGUAGUGUAGCGGUGAAAUGCUUAGAGAUUACAUGGAAUACCAAUUGCGAAGGCAGGUUACUACUAAUUGAUUGACGCUGAUGGACGAAAGCGUGGGUAGCGAACAGGAUUAGAUACCCUGGUAGUCCACGCCGUAAACGAUGGAUACUAGCUGUUGGGAGCGAUCUCAGUGGCUAAGCGAAAGUGAUAAGUAUCCCACCUGGGGAGUACGUUCGCAAGAAUGAAACUCAAAGGAAUUGACGGGGGCCCGCACAAGCGGUGGAGCAUGUGGUUUAAUUCGAUG